rnacentral:rRNA from 1 species
UACGUAGGGGGCUAGCGUUGUCCGGAAUCAUUGGGCGUAAAGAGCGUGUAGGCGGCUCGGUAAGUCCGCUGUGAAAGUCCAGGGCUCAACCCUGGAAUGCCAGUGGAAACUGUCGAGCUAGAGUCCGGAAGAGGCGAGUGGAAUUCCUGGUGUAGCGGUGAAAUGCGCAGAUAUCAGGAGGAACACCAAUGGCGAAGGCAGCUCGCUGGGACGGUACUGACGCCUGAGACGCGAAAGCGUGGGGAGCAAACAGG